ACCUGGGUGGCUUAGUCGGUUAGGCGUCUGACUUCAGCUCAGGUCAUGGUCUCACGGUUCGUGGGUUCGAGCCCCGCAUCGGGCU
rfam:Felis catus isolate Cinnamon breed Abyssinian chromosome C2, whole genome shotgun sequence.